CAUGCAAGUCGAGCGGAAACGAUGAUAGCUUGCUAUCAGGCGUCGAGCGGCGGACGGGUGAGUAAUGCUUAGGAAUCUACCGAGUAGUGGGGGAUAGCCCAGAGAAAUUUGGAUUAAUACCGCAUACGCCCUACGGGGGAAAGCAGGGGAUCUUCGGACCUUGCGCUAUUUGAUGAGCCUGAGUGAGAUUAGCUAGUUGGUGGGGUAAAGGCCUACCAAGGCGACGAUCUCUAGCUGGUCUGAGAGGAUGAUCAGCCACACUGGGACUGAGACACGGCCCAGACUCCUACGGGAGGCAGCAGUGGGGAAUAUUGCACAAUGGGCGCAAGCCUGAUGCAGCCAUGCCGCGUGUGUGAAGAAGGCCUUCGGGUUGUAAAGCACUUUCAGCGAGGAGGAAAGGUUAGUAGUUAAUACCUGCUAGCUGUGACGUUACUCGCAGAAGAAGCACCGGCUAAUUUAGUGCCAGCAGCCGCGGUAAUACUAAAGGUGCGAGCGUUAAUCGGAAUUACUGGGCGUAAAGCGCGCGUAGGUGGUUUGUCAAGUUGGAUGUGAAAGCCCAGGGCUCAACCUUGGAACUGCAUCCAAAACUGGCUCACUAGA
rnacentral:rRNA from 1 species